rnacentral:rRNA from 1 species
UACGGGGGGGGGCAAGCGUUGUUCGGAAUUACUGGGCGUAAAGGGCUCGUAGGUGGCCAACUAAGUCAGACGUGAAAUCCCCAGGCUUAACCUGGGAACUGCGUCUGAUACUGGAUGGCUUGAAUUCGGGAGAGGGAUGCAGAAUUCCAGGUGUAGCGGUGAAAUGCGUAGAUAUCAGGAGGAACACCGGUGGCGAAGGCGGGUCUCUGGGCCGUAACUGACGCUGAGGAGCGAAAGCGUGGGGAGCGAACAGG